rnacentral:lncRNA from 1 species
UUUAGCUGGCUCGUUAAAUUAUCGAGUCGAAAAAUUCAGCUCGUGUUUGGCUUGUUUAUUAACAAGCCAAACAUAAGCUGGCUCACGAGAUGAUCAACGAACAAUAAGUUAAAUGAAUUGGAUUCGAUAUAUAUAAUUUUUUUUUUUUUUUGAGAAAUAGGUAGCAAGCUACCUGUUUCAUUCAUAAAGCAAGAUGAAUUAAACGUACAAGGUUGAGACAGCUUAGGCCUCCGAGUCCAAAAAGUUAAGUACAGAAAAAGUUUAAAAUAAUAAAAUAAAAAUAGAAAUAAAAAAAGAGAGGGAGAGCUGGAGAAGGUAGGGGGG